rnacentral:rRNA from 1 species
UAAAAAAUUGCAAGGGCGUAUGGUGAAUGCCUUGGGUGUUGGAGACGAUGAAGGGCGUGGCGUGACUGCGAAAAGCUUCGGUGAGCUGUCUAGCAAGCUUUGACCCGGAGAUAUCCGAAUGGGGAAACCCCUCUUGGAAAACCCGAGAGAUUGCUACUUGAAUUCAUAGAGUAGUGAAGUGAACCUAGGGAAUUGAAACAUCUUAGUACCUAGAGGAAAGGAAAAAAAGUUAAUUUUUUUCUUCGGCUUUACAGUCGAGGAAGGAACUUAACACAUUCCCUUAGUAGCGGCGAGCGAAAAGGGAUCAGCCUGUGUUAUUGUUUUAUCUUAUUGUUAGUCGAACGUCUCUGGAAAGAGCGACCAUAGAAGGUAAUAGUCCUGUAGACGAAAACGUAUAAUAAAGCGGUGACAUGAACGAGUAUCUUGGGGCGAUAACCCUGGGAGAAGAUAGUUUUGCUUUUGUAGAGCUAUCAACCGGGACUACCCGGAAAGGCUAAAUACUACCAACACACCGAUAGCGAACUAGUACCGUGAGGGAAAGGUGAAAAGUACCCCUUUUAGGGGAGUGAAAUAGUAUCUGAAACCAUAUGCUUACAAAGAGUAGGAGCUCGAUUAAAGUACUUGUACUUUGUUGAGUGACUGCGUGCUUUUUGCAGAACGAACCGACGAGUUUUUAUAUUUGGCUCUGACUAAACUAUUUAGGUAGUGUAGUCUUAGGGAAACCGAGUGUUAAUAGCGCGAACUAAAAGUCAAAUGCAAAAGACCCGAAUCCGGGCGAUCUAGCCAUGACCAGGGUGAACCUCAAGUAACAUUGAGGGAAGGCCCGCACCCACUAGUCGUAUAACGCUAGGGGAUGAGUUGUGGUUAGCGGUGAAAGUCCAAUCGAGCCCGGCAAUAGCUGGUUCUCCUCGAAAUAUCUUUAGGGAUAGCGUUCGUUUAGGUUUCCGGGGGUAGAGCACUGCAUGACUGCGGGUGGAGUAAUCCUACUGUAGUUAAGCAAACUCCGAAUACUGGAAAUUUUAUUGCGAAUAGUCAGGCCUAGGGGGCUAAGCUCCUAGGUCAAGAGGGAAACAACCCAGACCACCAUCUAAGGUCCCCAAAUCAUGCUAAGUGGCAAAAGAGGUGAAAUCUCAUAGACACCUAGGAGGUUGGCUUAGAAGCAGCCAUCCUUAAAAGAAAGCGUAACAGCUCACUGGUUUAGAGGUUUUGCACUUAAGAUGUAACGGGGCUAAGCAUGAUACCGAAGAUGUGGCUCGUUUUUGACCUUAGGGUCAUUUACGGGGGUAGAGGAGCAUCUCUAGGGCGUCGAAGCCAGACUUGCGAGAGCUGGUGGAGCGCUAGGGAGCGAGAAUGUCGGUAUGAGUAACCACAAGGCGGGUGAGAUUCCCGCCCACCGAAAGUCUAAGGUUUCCUGGGCAAUGAUGAUCAUCCCAGGGUUAGUCGGUCCUAAGUCGAGGCCUAAAGGCGUAGACGAUGGACAGCAGGUUAAUAUUCCUGCACUUUGUAAAAGUUUGUUUUAACGAGACGUGGUUUAGGAGAUUGAGCUUGUUAUUGGAUUUGAGUCCAUCCUUGUGGUGGCGUAUCAUUCCUUCGGGUUUGAGCAGUCAAUCAAAUAAAUUACCGAGAAAAUUGUUAAUACUUAUACUUUUAUGAAUCCGUACCGUAAACCAACACAGGUAGACAGGGCGAGUAGCCCAAGGUGAAUAAGUUAAUCCUUCCUAAGGAACUCGGCAAAAUAGCUAGGCGUAACUUCGGAAGAUGCCUUGCCCGUGUUUGGGAUUUAGGAUAUUUAAUUGUAUCUUGAACCCUGAACAUGGGCCGCAGCUAAAGAGUCCUGGCGACUGUUUAUCAAAAACACAGCUCUCUGCUAACUCGAAAGAGGAUGUAUAGGGGGUGACGCCUGACCAGUGCCAGAAGGUCAAGGGUGGUGGUCUUGCAUUUAUGUAAGGCUAGCCGCUUUAAGCCCUGGUGAACGUCAGCGAUAACUAUAAUCGUUCUAAGGUGAAUUUCUUGCCUUAGUGAGGUGUAAGCCCUCCUUUUGAACUCCAUUGCCGUGGAGAUGUAGAAAGAAAAUUUGGCUAAAUGCUGGAAUACCCGCAAUGUAUCCUUGAGUACCAAAGUUGUAACAAUCUCAAGGUGAAGCGGACAAUCAGCAGGAAAGGUUUUUGUUUACUAACAGAAGAAUCCUCAGAGACUAUACGCCAGACCCACUGACGGGAAGAUAUAGUCCGAACUCUAUGGCGACAUAGAGAGUGUGAUAGAAAUAAUCACACCGCUACAUUAAGUUGUGGUAGUAACAAAUUGAGCGAAAUUCCUUGCGGGGUAAGUUCCCGCCCGCACGAAAGGCGUAACGACUGGGACACUGUCUCAGGAAGGAGCUUGGUGAAAAUGCAGUACCGGUAAAGAUGCCGGUUACCUGCGGCAAGACGAAAAGACCCCGGGAGCUUUACUAUAGCUUGGUAUUGGUUUUUGUAUAUUUCUGCUAAGAAUAGGCGGGAGGCUUUGAAGCUACUCUUUUGGGAGUAGUGGAGCCGCCAGUGAGAUACCGCCCUUAAAUAUGCUCUGGUCUAACUAGAAUCCGUGAAUCCGGAUCUAGGACAUUGCCUGGUGGGUAGUUUAAGUGGGGC